rnacentral:misc_RNA from 1 species
AACGCAUAUUUGCGCCCUUUGGUAUUCCGAAGGGCAUGCCUGUUCGAGCGUCAUUAUCACCAUAUCAAGCUUGGCUUGUUGUUGGGCCCUUCUGUCACCUGGUGACAGGUCCAAAAGACAAUAACUGGUGUCAUACAGACUCUAUAUGCAACGAGCUUAUAACAGCACGCAUCUGGUGGUCGUAUGGCCCGGUUUUCACUUUGAUAAAUAAAUUUCUCAAGGUUGACCUCGGAUCAGGUAGGAAUACCCGCUGAACUUAA